rnacentral:rRNA from 1 species
ACUAAAUAGAUACCCUGGUAGUCCACGCCCUAAACGAUGUCUACUAGUUGUUGGUGGAGUAAAAUCCAUGAGUAAACGCAGCUAAACGCGUGAAGUAGACCGCCUGGGGAGUACGGUCGCAAGAUUAAAACUCAAAUGAAUUGACGGGGGCCCGCACAAGCGGUGGAUUAUGUGGAUUAAUUCGAUGCAACGCGAAAACCUUACCUGGCCUUGACAUGUAGCGAACUUUCCAGAGAUGGAUUGGUGCCCGUAAGGGAACGCUAACACAGGUGCUGCAUGGCUGUCGUCAGCUCGUGUCGUGAGAUGUUGGGUUAAGUCCCGCAACGAGCGCAACCCUUGCCAAUAAUUGCCAUCAUUUAGUUGGGCAC